AUUAAAUGUCCAAGAAAUUCCUGGACACACUUGAACCAAACCACAAUGUGAGUUUGACCAGACUCAAGCUUUUAGGUUGAGGCGGGUAUUCGAGACUACAAGCUGUAUUGGUUUGUACAAGUACAUCAUUGUAGACGUCAUGUGAGGUGUCUUUGGUAAAAAAAGUACCACUGCGUCUGCCGGAGAAUGUGUUUCGCAAGACUAGUAACCAUUACUAUUUGAAAAGGUGGAGGUCUGCAUGCAAUGGUGGAUGGUGCUAUGUAAACAUAGUGCUGUUUCAUCAUACAUCGGAGUCUCUCCACACCAUUUGGAAUGUUGCGAUACGUAACUUUCAAAUUGUUAAAAUAGGCGUGGAUCGCCUCAGCCCCUUGCUCUCCCAUGAGUCCUAUUCCCACCUGCCACUGGUCCAGCCAAUCAACCACAUGCUUCUCUAGCAUGUGCAUCUUUGGUAUGACGGUUGCUUGAGGAAAUUGCUCCCGAUAAAAUGUCAUAAAGGUGGAGAUGGGAGUAUCUUUGGAGUAAAUUUACAUGAGUUAGGGUGACACAAAACUUCCGCUGGAUCUUCUCAGCACUCGUAACUAUGGACGGCUCAUAACUGCUUGCUCUGAGUACAACGGUAUUGCGAGUUUCUCAAUGUUCCUCACCUGUAGAGUGAUAUUCAAAGUAAGUUUGUUUUUAGUUAAUAACGUACCUGGAGGGUCCGGUUUACGUGAUUUCCCACAAAUGUGCCACCAUAGUACGUUUGUCUCCGAACAUUGAAGUCUUCUAGAGCAGCAUCUAGAGCCUUAACAAAAGGUCCAUCCUCUUUCUUGUACCCUUUUGCUGUUUUCUCGUUAAUCUUAGUCCACUCAGCAUCCUAAUCCAUAAUUAUGUACACAACUCAGCAUCCUAAUCCAUAAUUAUGUACACAACUCAUCGUCUUAGUUUAAUAAUAAUUAUCACUUACAAGCUUCUUCGCGUGCGAAGCUUUCUCCUCAAAUUCUGAGCGGAGUGCUGAGAGUCGAGGAUCGUCUUCCUCCUCACCUUCACCAAACACACAGAGCAAGGCCACCAGGUCAUUGAGUUGAGCCACUUCUUCGUUUACCCUAUACAUUUAUUUUAUUGCUUUAAAUUUUAUGUGUUCCAUGUAAAUUUAAUCACCUGUCUAGCUCAUCCUUGAGGGCUCUCUCUCUCACAGAGUCACUCAUGAAGUUUGAGUAUGAAGGGCCACCCCUCUCGCGACUAUCUUCACACCAUAAGACUGCAUUGUCAAGCGCACGACAUUCAUCCUCCAUCAAUUGGAAGAGCCGGUAAAAUAUCCCUAAACUGAUGUGCAGUCCUGGAGGGCAAACCUGCAUUUCCAUUUUGGAAUAAGGUGGGUGUGAAUUAACAAUGUAGAUGUUACUUGAUUCAAAGGGAUGCAUUUGAAAAAAGGUUCCCGAACACAAUUGUUGAAGUUUUUGACGUUCUUUAGGAUCCCUCCGGCUGCAAUGAAGCUGUGGUGGUCUGUGACCAUACUGGCAGUGCUUCUGCUUUGAACAGUAGUGGGUGGGUUCCUUAGCUGUUCUGAUGUUGUCAAGCACCACAAGCAACACUGCCGACCUAUUCAGAAUUUCACGUAAAGUAAGGUAUGUGUAUAAUAUAGUUAUUCCUUUUACCUGAAGCACCUGACAGCCCAUAUAUGUUACACAGGAACUCAUAAUCCCCGCUAAGGAAUACUCGGAUUGUCUUUCCUCUGUACACGUUACAAUUAUAGUUUUUAAUAUUCUGCUUAGUACCUCCAUGUCUUGCUCUGUAGGCUGUCCACCUCAUCUUCGAACCUCUGUAGUGCGAUCUUCAGGUUGGUAACGUUGUCGGGAGCCUCAAAAACACAAAAAGCACAGGUAUUAACUGAAUAGCCGCGGUUAUGAUUUCAUACGUAGUACCGCCCACCGCGGAACCAAAAUCUAAUUAAUUUUAAAUUACUUUCAUUAUCAGCUCCUAGCCAAGAAAAAUGCGUAGCUAAGAAGCGGUAGCAGUUUUCUGCAGGCAACUUUGUUGCAAACUAGUCUAGAAUAGUUAUUCUGCCAGGAUCUCUGAGUUUUGAACGGAGCAGGUAACCAGCCAAGGCCCCAGCGAAGGAUCAUUUCACAACAUUCGCCUCUAGCAAAGAAAGAUGCAUAACUUGGAAACAGUGACAGUUUUCUUUAUUCAACUUCGUAGCAAAGUAGUCUACAGUAGUUACUGUGUCAGGAUCUCCUGGUUUCCAACGGAAAAGUCAACCAGCCAAGGCCAGAGCGAGGGAUCUCUUCAGAGUGUGGCAAAGAACAGUAACAGUUCUCUUCAAGCUACCUUGUAGCUAGUUACUCUGUCAGGACCUCCAAUCUGAACAGUCAACCAGCCAAGGACAGAGCGAGAUUUUACUUCAGAGGUUAAGCUUUGUGUGCGUAUGAUUAUAGCGAUGCUGUUUUUAGCUUGUACAUAGUGUUCUUAGCUGAUAAUACGCUUUCUUAGCUUGUAAAGUGCACUGGCUCCAGCAGUGUGUUGAAGCCGAGUUUAAAAUACAGAAGCCUAUAUGUACGCUCAGCAGUGUUGCAAUGUAAAGGGGUCAUCAUUGAUUUGCUUAGCUAUCUGUUGGUCUCAUCCACAAUGUAUUCUGUUAUCAACUGUGAUGAAUGCUGGAAUUUUGUCUUGAAUCGGAGAUCGGAAAGUUUGGGCCAACAGAUUGGUUGAGAUGGUGGGAGUCCAUAGUCAGGCCAGGAGUGGAAAUGCUUACAUGGUAAGGUGAUUUCCAAACCAGAAACAAGACAUUGACGAACACUGGCCUAAACAAAGGUCUGUGAAACUAUCGUCACUGCUAUCUGCCAUGGAACCACCACCAUCUAAUGGGUCUGAGAAGUUCUACUCACUGUGACUACUAUCCAGGAUACCUAGGAGUACCUCAUCCCCUAUGUACAGAGGCAUUGAUGUACCAUAGAAUUAAUUGUAAUUGUAUUUUUUAUAAUGUAUGUUCACUUUUGAGAUUGAUAUUGAAAUACAAAUUUCACAUUAAAA